GCAGGCAGGUGAGCAGUUGGGAGCCAGCAGUCCUGGAUUGUAAGAGGGAUCGGAUCUAAACUGGCAAUCGGAAAUCCCGCAAGGGGUCCCAGAUUGGCUAGGGUGCAGGCUGGGCUGAGGGACACACACCCAUGUGCACGAAUUUCAUGUACCAGGCCUCUAGUUGAUA